AAAAGUUUAUGAACUCAGGCACAAUGCUGCUAUAAUGCGAAUAUCUACUUCUUGGACCMUACUCGUUACCUUUGCAAUCUCAAGGCAUUCCAGUGCUGCUGAGGUGCCCAGAAGCAAAUCAAGUCCCCAGUGAUCUCAGCCCAAGGAGGAGGCUGACAGAGGAUCCAGCUCCUUGUUUAUGAGAAAAUCCCUACAGCCAUCUUCUUCAGCACAGGACGGAAAUAYAGUUUCAGUGUUACCGCUGAGACCUGGCCAGAGAAAAGAAAAAUUUCCUAGACUGCAGAUGUCUCUUAAUGCCCRGCUGAAAUGACCAAUAUAGAGGACACUUGCUUCAAUGAAUGUCAGAGGGAUCUCAGCUCUUCCUUCAUUCCUCUGCCAGACUUUACACCGUGUCAUGGCAAAAUAUACAA
rnacentral:lncRNA from 1 species